UAGUCCACGCCGUAAACGAUGUUCACUCGCUGUUGGCGAUAUACUGUCAGCGGCCAAGCGAAAGCAUUAAGUGAACCACCUGGGGAGUACGAUCGCAAGGUUGAAACUCAAAGGAAUUGACGGGGGCCCGCACAAGCGGUGGAGCAUGUGGAUUAAUUCGAUGAUACGCGAGGAACCUUACCUGGGCUUAAAUGGUAACGGACCGUCGCCGAAAGGUGUCUUUCUUUUUAGACUGUUAUCAAGGUGCUGCAUGGCUGUCGUCAGCUCGUGCCGUGAGGUGUUGGGUUAAGUCCCCGCAACGAGCGCAACCCCCUUUCUCCUAGUUGCCAGCACAUAAUGGUGGGGACUCUAGAGAUACUGCCUACGUAAGUAGUGAGGAAGGUAGGGACGACGUCAAGUCAUCAUGGCCCUUACGUCCAGGGCUUCACACGUGCUACAAUGGUAGAUACAAAGAGCAGCCACUUAGCAAUAAGGANCGAAUCUCAAAAAGUCUAUCUCAGUUCGGAUAC
rnacentral:rRNA from 1 species